rnacentral:rRNA from 1 species
AGAGUUUGAUCCUGGCUCAGAUUGAACGCUGGCGGCAGGCCUAACACAUGCAAGUCGAACGGUAACAGGAAGCAGCUUGCUGCUUUGCUGACGUGUGGCGGACGGGUGAGUAAUGUCUGGGAAACUGCCUGAUGGAGGGGGAUAACUACUGGAAACGGUAGCUAAUACCGCAUAACGUCGCAAGACCAAAGUGGGGGACCUUCGGGCCUCACACCAUCGGAUGUGCCCAGAUGGGAUUAGCUAGUAGGUGGGGUAACGGCUCACCUAGGCGACGAUCCCUAGCUGGUCUGAGAGGAUGACCAGCCACACUGGAACUGAGACACGGUCCAGACUCCUACGGGAGGCUGCAGUGGGGAAUAUUGCACAAUGGGCGCAAGCCUGAUGCAGCCAUGCCGCGUGUGUGAAGAAGGCCUUCGGGUUGUAAAGCACUUUCAGCGGGGAGGAAGGCGUUAAGGUUAAUAACCUUGGCGAUUGACGUUACCCGCAGAAGAAGCACCGGCUAACUCCGUGCCAGCAGCCGCGGUAAUACGGAGGGUGCAAGCGUUAAUCGGAAUUACUGGGCGUAAAGCGCACGCAGGCGGUCUGUCAAGUCGGAUGUGAAAUCCCCGGGCUCAACCUGGGAACUGCAUUCGAAACUGGCAGGCUAGAGUCUUGUAGAGGGGGGUAGAAUUCCAGGUGUAGCGGUGAAAUGCGUAGAUAUAUGGAGGAACACCAGUGGCGAAGGCGGCUGUCUGGUCUGUAACUGACGCUGAGGCUCGAAAGCAUGGGUAGCGAACAGGAUUAGAUACCCUGGUAGUCCAUGCCGUAAACGAUGAGUGCUAGGUGUUGGAGGGUUUCCGCCCUUCAGUGCCGCAGCUAACGCAUUAAGCAUUCCGCCUGGGGAGUACGACCGCAAGGUUGAAACUCAAAGGAAUUGACGGGGGCCCGCACAAGCGGUGGAGCAUGUGGUUUAAUUCGAAGCAACGCGAAGAACCUUACCAGGUCUUGACAUCCUUUGAUCACCUGAGAGAUCAGGUUUCCCCUUCGGGGGCAAAAUGACAGGUGGUGCAUGGUUGUCGUCAGCUCGUGUCGGGAGAUGUUGGGUUAAGUCCCGCAACGAGCGCAACCCUUAUUGUUAGUUGCCAUCAUUUAGUUGGGCACUCUAGCGAGACUGCCGGUGACAAACCGGAGGAAGGUGGGGAUGACGUCAAAUCAUCAUGCCCCUUAUGCCCUGGGCUACACACGUGCUACAAUGGGAAGUACAACGAGUUGCGAAGUCGCGAGGCCAAGCUAAUCUCUUAAAACUUCUCUCAGUUCGGAUUGUAGGCUGCAACUCGCCUACAUGAAGCCGGAAUCGCUAGUAAUCGCGGAUCAGCACGCCGCGGUGAAUACGUUCCCGGGCCUUGUACACACCGCCCGUCGCACCACGAGAGUUUGUAACACCCGAAGUCGGUGAGGUAACCUUUAUGGAGCCAGCCGCCUAAGGUGGGAUAGAUGAUUGGGGUG